GAUGAACGCUAGCGGCAGGCUUAACACAUGCAAGUCGAGGGGUAGAAGUUGCUUGCAACUUUGAGACCGGCGCACGGGUGCGUAACGCGUAUGCAAUCUACCUUAUACAGAGGGAUAGCCCAGAGAAAUUUGGAUUAAUACCUCAUAGUAUAAUUGAAUGGCAUCGUUUAAUUAUUAAAGUUCCAACGGUAUAAGAUGAGCAUGCGUCCUAUUAGCUAGAUGGUAAGGUAACGGCUUACCAUGGCAACGAUAGGUAGGGGUCCUGAGAGGGAGAUCCCCCCCACUUGUACGGAGACACGGACCAGACUCCUCUGUAGGCAGCAGUGAGGAAUAUUGGACAAUGGGCGCAAGCCUGAUCCAGCCAUGCCGCGUGCAGGAAGAAGCAUCUAUGGUGUGUAAACUGCUUUUGUACGGGAAGAAACACUCCUUCGUGAAGGAGCUUGACGGUACCGUAAGAAUAAGGAUCGGCUAACUCCGUGCCAGCAGCCGCCGUAAAAC
rnacentral:rRNA from 1 species